AGGAUAAACGCUGGCGGCGUGCCUAACACAUGCAAGUCGAACGCGCUUGCUAUCCGCAAGGGGAGCGAGCGAGUGGCGGACGGGUGAGGAACACGUGGGUGACCUACCUUUCAGUGAGGGAUACCGGCGAGAAAUUGCCGACAAGACCGCAUACGCUUCUCUUUUCAAGGGGAGAAGGAAAGCUUUUCGCAAGAGAGGCGCUGGGAGAUGGGCCUGCGGCCGAUUAGCUAGCUGGUGGGGUAAUGGCCUACCAGGGCGACGAUCGGUAGCUGGUCUGAGAGGACGAUCAGCCACACUGGGAUUGAGAACGGCCCAGACUCCUACGGGGGGCAGCAGUGAGGAAUUUUCGGCAAUGGGGGCAACCCUGACCGAGCAACGCCGCGUGCAGAACGACGGCCUUCGGGUUGUAAACUGCUUUUCUCUGGGACGAGCAAGGACGGUACCAGAGGAAGAGCCCGGCUAACUACGUGCCAGCAGCCGC
rnacentral:rRNA from 1 species